rnacentral:rRNA from 1 species
UACAGAGGUGGCAAGCGUUGUCCGGAUUUAUUGGGCGUAAAGGGCAUGUAGGUGGUUCUAUAAGUCAAAGGUGAAAUGGCCCGGCUCAACCAGGUCAUUGCCUUUGAAACUGCAGAACUUGAGUACGGUAGAGGAAAGCGGAAUUCCCAGUGUAGCGGUGAAAUGCGUAGAUAUUGGGAGGAACACCGGUGGCGAAGGCGGCUUUCUGGUCCGAAACUGACACUGAGGUGCGAAAGCGUGGGGAGCAAACAGG